rnacentral:snoRNA from 14 species
GUGAGGGUGAUGAAAAAAAUCAUUCGGAUUCCCAAUGAUUCCCUUACGUACGGGAAAUUAUGUGAUUAUUUACCAGCUACUUUUGACUCAU